AGAGUUUGAUCCUGGCUCAGGAUGAACGCUGGCGGCGUGCUUAACACAUGCAAGUCGAGCGAUAAUUGUAUUCCGGAGGCUUCGGCCGAAGGAAUACAAGGAAAGCGGCGGACGGGUGAGUAACGCGUGGGUAACCUGCCUUAUACAGGGGGAUAACAUAUUGAAAAGUAUGCUAAUACCGCAUAAGCGCACAAGGUCGCAUGGUCUAGUGUGAAAAGCCGAGACGGUAUAAGAUGGACCCGCGUCUGAUUAGCUAGUAGGUGAGGUAAUGGCUCACCUAGGCAACGAUCAGUAGCCGACCUGAGAGGGUGAUCGGCCACAUUGGGACUGAGACACGGCCCAAACUCCUACGGGAGGCAGCAGUGGGGAAUAUUGCACAAUGGAGGAAACUCUGAUGCAGCGACGCCGCGUGAAGGAAGAAGGUUUUCGGAUCGUAAACUUCUAUCAGCAGGGACGAUAAUGACGGUACCUGACUAAGAAGCCCCGGCUAACUACGUGCCAGCAGCCGCGGUAAUACGUAGGGGGCAAGCGUUAUCCGGAAUUACUGGGUGUAAAGGGUGCGUAGGCGGUAAUGUAAGUCAGGUGUGAAAGCCCGAAGCUCAACUUCGGGAUUGCACUUGAAACUACAUAACUAGAGUACAGGAGAGGUGAGUGGAAUUCCUAGUGUAGCGGUGAAAUGCGUAGAUAUUAGGAGGAACACCAGUGGCGAAGGCGACUCACUGGACUGUAACUGACGCUGAGGCACGAAAGCGUGGGGAGCGAACAGGAUUAGAUACCCUGGUAGUCCACGCUGUAAACGAUGAAUGCUAGGUGUUGGAGGUAUCGACUCAGUCGUGCAGUUAACGCAAUAAGUAAUCCGCCUGGGGAGUAUGCACGCAAGUGUGAAACUCAAAGGAAUUGACGGGGGCCCGCACAAGCGGUGGAGCAUGUGGUUUAAUUCGAUGAUACGCGAGGAACCUUACCAAGUCUUGACAUCCCUCUGACCGGUCCGUAACGGGACCUUUGCUUCGGGGCAGGGGUGACAGGUGGUGCAUGGUUGUCGUCAGCUCGUGUCGUGAGAUGUCGGGUUAAGUCCCGCAACGAGCGCAACCCUUAUCGUUAGUUGCCAGCGGAUCAUGCCGGGGACUCUAGCGAGACUGCCACCGUAAGGUGAGAGGAAGGUGGGGAUGACGUCAAAUCAGCACGGCCCUUAUGUCCAGGGCGACACACGUGCUACAAUGGCAAGUACAAAGGGCAGCUACCGGGUGACCGGAUGCGAAUCUUUAAAAUUGGUCUCAGUUCGGAUCGGAGUCUGCAACUCGACUCCGUGAAGCUGGAUUCGCUAGUAAUCGCAUAUCAGCCAUGGCGCGGUGAAUACGUUCCCGGGCCUUGUACACACCGCCCGUCAAGCCAUGGAAGUUGGGGGUGCCUAAAGUUCGUGACCGCAAGGAGCGACCUAGGGUAAAACCAAUGACUGGGGCUAAGUCGUAACAAG
rnacentral:rRNA from 1 species